rnacentral:misc_RNA from 1 species
AGGCAGAGGUCAAACUUCUUUUGACAGUUCAUCACAGAAACUUGACAACCCUUGUUGGUUUCUGCAGUGAAGGUUCCAACUUGGGGCUCAUCUACGAGUAUUUGGCCAGGAGAGAUUUAGAAAUGCACCUAUCAGGUUCAUUUAUAUUAAACAUAUUUUUUGGAUGACUUGAUGAUAAAUCUAAACUUGUUAUUAACUACUGCGACUGCUGUGUCAGCAUACCAUAGACAGUACUUUUAGGUUCUGCUAUAACAAUUCUCUUUGAUUUCAUUAGCAAAUGCAAUUUUUACAGCAAUAAUCUUUUUCAAAUUGCAAGCCCAUUGCCUAAAAUUUUAGGCCUUCAUAUCAUAAAUUACGAGAACAUAGUUGAUACAAUUUUUAUAAGUGGCAUCAAAUAUUUUUCUAUUCCCAAUAGAAAUUUGAGGCACAGCUUUUGUAUAAAUGUAGAAAUGAGCACAAAUGUGUUGAGUUGGGAGAGGAGACUUCAAAUAGCAGUCGAUGCAGCAAAAGGAUUGGAGUAUCUCCACAAUGGGUGCAAGCCCCCAAUUGUACAUAGGGACGUGAAGACUGCAAACAUCUUGUUGAAUGAUAAAUUCCAAGCCAAACUGGCUGAUUUUGGACUGUCCAGACCUUUCCUAUUUGACGGUGGCACUCACAUAUCAACAGAUGUUGUUGGCACUCCUGGGUACCUUGAUCCCGAGUGAGUAGUUUAUAAUACUGUCUAGAAUAUUUGAUUUAUGCUUUUCAAAAAAAUUAUUUCACUUGUACUUUUGUUAAAGGAACUCCUCCUUUCCCUUUAAUCCUCCUAGAAACAAAAGGAAGAUACUUUCUAUUCAACAGCACGGGUGCAAAUUUGCAAAUUUGUCCACUUAUAAAAGAACUAGAUCAAUCAAAGAAACAUACUAAUGAUUAAUCGAGAACUGACAUGGUUCGAGUUUAAUGUUCUGGUUUUCAGGUACCCUGUGACAUACAGAUUAACAGAGAAAAGUGAUGUGUAAAGCUUUGGCAUAGUUCUUUUGAGGAUAAUCACAGGCAAACCUGUGCUUGCAAGAACCAACCCAAUGACUUAUUUAAGACAGUGGGUUAGCUCCCUGCUUGCAAACGGAGAUAUUGAAAACGUUGUUGAUCCACGGUUAGGUGGAGACUUCAACAUCAACUCUGUCUGGAAGGCAGUGGAAAUAGCAAUGGCUUGUACAUCUCCAACUUCCACUAGAAGGCCAACUAUGCUUCAAGUAGUGAAUGAAUUGAAUGAGUGCUUAGCAGCAGAAAUAGCUCCAACAAAGGAGAGGCAUGAGAUUGAAUUGAAUGGUUCCACUGGAGUGUCGAAUGAAUCAACUCCGCUAGCUAGGUAGUAGCUCAAAGAUUUAGGGCUAUUAUGGUACUAAUUGAUUUACAUUCUAUAUGUAGUACUGUCAUUGCACGAACUGAAUAAAAUCCUGCACACUUCGAUAAGUAGUUAAUCUAUGUUCUUGCCAGCACACCUAAAAAGGGCAUAGCAAAACAAGAAAACUAUUUAGUAUCAAUUGUUUAUAUGAAAACAAUUAGGCUUCAACUAUACCCUAUGUUUGGAUCAUGAUUGGG